rnacentral:rRNA from 1 species
UAGUCCACGCCGUAAACGAUGUCUACUAGCCGUUGGGAGACUUGAUUUCUUAGUGGCGCAGCUAACGCACUAAGUAGACCGCCUGGGGAGUACGGCCGCAAGGUUAAAACUCAAAUGAAUUGACGGGGGCCCGCACAAGCGGUGGAGCAUGUGGUUUAAUUCGAUGCAACGCGAAGAACCUUACCAGGCCUUGACAUCCUGAGAAUUUGGUAGAGAUACCUUAGUGCCUUCGGGAACUCAGUGACAGGUGCUGCAUGGCUGUCGUCAGCUCGUGUCGUGAGAUGUUGGGUUAAGUCCCGUAACGAGCGCAACCCUUAUUCUUAGUUGCUAUCAGGUGAUGCUGAGGACUCUAAGGNGACUGCCGGUGACAAACCGGAGGAAGGCGGGGACGACGUCAAGUCCUCAUGGCCCUUACGGGGUUGGGGCUACACACGUGCUACAAUGGGCAGUGACAAU